GAUGAACGCUGACAGAAUGCUUAACACAUGCAAGUCGAUGGGGAAGUGGUGCUUGCACCAUGGUAACCAUGGCGGACGGGUGAGUAACACGUAAGGAACUUACCUUCUGGACCGGGAUAACAGCAGGAAACUGCUGACAAGACCGGAUAAGGUCAUUAAGCUGCAUAGCUUAGUGAUGAAAGGAGACGCCUGCGGAGAGCCUUGCGUCCUAUUAGCUAGUUGGAGGGGUAACGGCCCACCAAGGCGAAGAUAGGUAGCCGGCCUGAGAGGGUGGACGGCCACGAGGGGACUGAGAUGCGGCACUUACUCAUACGGGAGGAAGCAGUGGAGAAUAUUGGACAAUGGGGGCAACCGUGAUCAAGCAAUUCUGUGUGCACGAAGACGGUUUUCGGAUUGUAAAGUGCUUUCAGCAGGGAAGAAGGAAGUGACGGUACCUGCAGAAGAAGCGACGGCUAAAUACGUG
rnacentral:rRNA from 1 species